rnacentral:rRNA from 1 species
UCCUACGGGGCGCAGCAGUAGGGAAUUUUCGUCAAUGGGCGCAAGCCUGAACGAGCAAUGCCGCGUGAACGAGGAAGGUCUUCGGAUCGUAAAGUUCUGUUGAAGGGGAAAAAGAGCGGAGAGAGGAAAUGGUCUCCGAUUGAUAUUACCCUUCGAGGAAGUCACGGCUAACUACGUGCCAGCAGCCGCGGUAAUACGUAGGUGGCAAGCGUUGUCCGGAUUUACUGGGUGUAAAGGGCGUGUAGCCGGGUUGACAAGUCAGAUGUGAAAUCCUGCGGCUUAACCGCAGAACUGCAUU